rnacentral:rRNA from 1 species
UCAAACCUCUGCCCAGCAGAACGACCCGCGAACACGUUUUACCACGCGACGUCGAGCGAGCGGCGGUCCGCGGACCCCGCCCGACGCGUCCUCCGCGGGGGAGACCGCUCGUCGGUUCCCUCGCGGCGCAAACAACCAAACCCCGGCGCAAGUCGCGCCAAGGAAAUCAAAAUGCGAAAGGCAACGCCCUGCCGCCCCGAGAACGGUGCGCGGUCGAGGCGUCGCGUCUCCUCGAUGAGAAUCUAAACGACUCUCGGCAACGGAUAUCUCGGCUCUCGCAUCGAUGAAGAACGCAGCAAAAUGCGAUACUGGAUGUGAAUUGCAGAAUCCCGCGAACCAUCGAGUCUUUGAACGCAAGUUGCGCCCGAAGCCUUCUGGCCGAGGGCACGUCUGCCUGGGUGUCACACGACAUUGCCCACCCCACCCCCGAAUCCUCGGGGGAACGGUCGGUGGCGGAAGAUGGCCUCCCGCGAGCGCGUUCCCGCGGUUGGCCCAAAAACCGAGUCCCCGACGGCGUUCGCCUCGACAACGGUGGUUGAGAGACCCUCGGACAGUGUCGUGCGGCGCGCCGGCUCCGCGGACCGGAAAAAACCCAACCCCUCUUCCCACCCCGCCCCCGGGCCAGGCAAAACUACCCGUUAAUUUUAACCUUAUCAAAAACCGAAGAAA